rnacentral:rRNA from 1 species
CGUUGCUUCUUUGCUGGCGACCGGCGCACGGGUGAGUAACACGUAUCCAACCUGCCCUUUACUCGGGGAUAGCCUUUCGAAAGAAAGAUUAAUACCCGAUAGCAUAAUGAUUCCGCAUGGUUUCAUUAUUAAAGGAUUCCGGUAAAGGAUGGGGAUGCGUUCCAUUAGGUUGUUGGUGGGGUAACGGCCCACCAAGCCUUCGAUGGAUAGGGGUUCUGAGAGGAAGGUCCCCCACAUUGGAACUGAGACACGGUCCAA